AGAAAGGAAACACCUCCGCGGGUGACACUUCUUGCAUAGUUCAGCCUCCAGGGCAUACACUCCAACUUGAAUUUCAUACCACAGCUCAGUGAGCAGAGGAUGUCUUUGAAAGGUUACUACAAACAUGACCCCGGAGGGCUCUGGACCAUGCAAGACAGCCUUCCAGCUUGAUGACUGGAACCGUUGUUUGCUGUAAGAAUCACGUUGUCAGACACGCAGCUUGUCAUUUAUGUGACCACAGCAUCCUGAUGGGCCUCCUUCCAUCGUGACCAGUUUACUUAAGAAAGAAAACACUACUAAGAGGACAAGAGACAAGGCCAUUGGCAUAAACUACAAAGUAGAAACAACUGGGUCUUUCCUUAGAGAAUCGGAAUGUAAAAUCUCAUUCUUUCCAGGACCAUGGAACCUCAAACUUCAGCGCUUCACAGUACGACCUCAGGAAUUAAACAUCAAAAUGUGAGCCUGGACCUUAAAUCACUCUGAGGAGAAUACAAACUAUAGAGACCUAUCCAGACCACAGCAAAUGUCACCAAGAGGACUUUGAAAUGGUACAAUACAACUUGGGAUAACAUGACCUGUUUCUUUUCUGCCUGCCAUACGUGUGGCCUUCCUGUGCAGAGCAAUUGUCCUCCUAGUGUCACCAGGAGACUACUUACACUAACCACAGUGGUAUGAUGCCACGUUUCAGAGCCCACUUGCAGAAAAUGAACCCAUAACUACAUUGGACUAAAAUGACAUCAUUGGUAAACAAGAGAUGAGAUACUGUUGAUUAUUUUGAUGACUCUGGUAUGGCUCUUUGUUGGGUAUCAAUAAUGCAUUGUGCUCCAUCUGCAACACAGAGUUAGAUACUGCUCCUAGCAGGGUAUUUAGUCUACAUGGACAUGCAGGCAACCAAGAGAUGCUGUGAGAGCAAAAAGCAAAACCAGGAGCUGUUCAGUUGUUUAGCCUAUCAGCCUUUGCACUCUCCUCCUUGGAAACGGUGCUGGCAGCUAGAAGAAUCUACAUCACAGUUCUCCAGAAAGUUCUGCAAGACUUUCAGCAAGGGUGAUAGAAGAACACCCAGACUUCAAAAUCAGGUUGUGUCUCACUAUACCAAAGCUCCAUCUAUUACAGGAAGGAAUUUACUUGUAAAUUCUUACAAAUAGCAUUAGCAUUCUUAAUGCAUUCCUAAUUGGAUUAGAAUUAUAAACACAGUAAACAGCCAGGGACAGAAAUCUGAGCUACCUAUAUAAUUAACACUUGUCCCUAGGCUAAUAGACUGCACUGACCAAGAAACAGGACCCCCAAAUUAGAUGCUGUACCCUUAAUCUAAUGAGGACACACUCCCAGCUUGGAGGUCUUCAGCUCAGAUUUCUUUAGGACACUUGAGUAUUUGUACAAAACCAUCUUUGAUUCUAGGAAAUUAGUGUCGUUAGAGCUCAAAAUGGAUUUAGGCAGCAUUUUCAUUGGCAGGCAACUUCAGAGAUCACCACCUAAUAAAAUCUCCUUCCAUAGUCUGGAGGCACCACACAGACACACCCCAUUAGCUCAUGUAGCAGAUCCUCUAUGGGAGGUGGUUGCUUCUGGUGGCUGACUGUGUUGCUCAGUUUGCAUGGUGUUGGAUCCCUUGCAAUGCUUAACAUCUACUGGUGAAUGCUGGAAGUUCUGUUGUGUAGAUGAAAUGGGGUAAGAAAAGAGAAGAGAGCAGAACUUUAGUCUAGUCAUUCCUGCUCUUUCAAAGGUCUUGGUUCCCAAUCCUUCCCAUUUUAGAUACUUGAUCUAACUCUGUCCUUCUCUACCGUACCUCCUCCAGCUUAUACUCUGAAUUCAGAAGAAUGAUCAUGCAAAAAAACAAUCCAAAAUGCUUGUAAUCAAUUCCUUGCAAACUACCUCUUCCUUGCCGGAAAGGUGCCCACACAUUGGCCUACACAAAAGCACUCCAGAAUGCGUUUGGACUGCACAGUGGCCUCUCCGAUUCCCCUCUACCUUAUCAACAACUCCAAAGAUGAGAGAUUGCCAAGUCCCAGAGCCAGGCAAAAACCUUGUUUGAUGAACAAAGGAUGCGACUGAAGCUCCUUAGAGGAUGGAAGAGAGGAGGAGGGGGAAGGCUCUGUGCCCCAGUGAGACAAACAACCCUGGGACCGAUCACCAGCCUGUGGCUACCUUCACAGAAACUCCUGGUUAUCUGGAAGGUAGCCU